AGGCACAGUCACUCAGCUCCUCCGCUGGAACGGACGAAGACGUUCGCUCUCCGUAAAGUUCUUCACCUGUGUGUGUCGUGCGCACUUGGACUAUUUGUAUUACUCGUCUCAACAUGAUUCCGUGUUUGAAACCGACGACCUCGGCGGCUUCCAUGAUGCUGCUUUUCAGCACGCUCGUGGCUCUGUGUCCCGCCUACGUGCUCGUGCACCCGGCUGGUGUUGUGCCCCAGACUCAGGUGGUGUACCAGUCGCCGCAUCAACCACCUGUGGUGCCCGUGGCGGGUCCGGGACAGCCACACGUCAUCUAUCACUAUGGACUCGGAGGCGUGAGGCCUGAACUGCAGCCUCCCGUAGUGUUCGUGAGAGUGGUUCCCGCGUAUCCGCCCCCGAACCAGCCUCCCCUGCAGCCCCCGUUCAUCGAGGAAGUGCCACCCGUGUUCAAGAACCCACCUCCAGACCCCGAAGACACCCCGCCUGCCAAGAAGCCCGGCGUCCACGGACGCGGAGGUCGCCGAACGGACUGUCCCGAGGUGGACAACAAGAAGGGAAUCGCGCCGCCACCCACCCGUAAGCCCUCGAAGAGGGGCCGCGGCACUCAGGCGAGGAAGUCCAGGAGGCCGCCGGCGGAGGCGACCACCCGAAGACCGCCCAGCAAGGCCAACCGCCGCGUCGACCCCAAGAGCGAACGCCUGAGGACCGAGAGACUAACCGCCGCCAAGAAUGCCUAAUACUCUUCCCGAGCCGUCCGCGAGCUGUCUGCGGCGCCCCCUAUCCAGUUUUCACCACCGGCGGAUUCCGUCAUGUUGCCUCUUCUGAUUGGCUCUAAGCUCAGGGCCACGUGCUCCCUGAUCGUUUCCGAAACUGCAACGUGGCGGAGUUCCGCCGUCGGUGAAAGGCUCGUAACGAGGACCAACGAAUGUUUCGUAGACGGCCGAGAGAGUCGUUGUCUGAUUGCUGCGAUGCUUUCCUCUGCGAGUCUGCGCAACUGUGACGUCUGCUCGAAACUGGCUGAAAGCCCUUUGUAGCUCUCAGUGGGGUCGUGUGCUCACGCAGUUU
rnacentral:misc_RNA from 1 species